rnacentral:rRNA from 1 species
UACGUAGGGACCAAGCGUUGUUCGGAUUUACUGGGCGUAAAGGGCGCGUAGGCGGCUUAACAAGUCACUUGUGAAAUCUCCGGGCUUAACCCGGAGCGGCCAAGUGAUACUGUCGUGCUAGAGUGCGGAAGGGGCUACUGGAAUUCUCGGUGUAGCGGUGAAAUGCGUAGAUAUCGAGAGGAACACCUGCGGCGAAGGCGGGUAGCUGGGCCGACACUGACGCUGAGGCGCGAAAGCCAGGGGAGCGAACGGG